CAAUAAUGAAGCCUUCUUGAAAACCUCUCCCAAGCUUCACAGAAAGUUUCAUUGUUUUUCUGUGUGAAGCCUGGGAUCUCGUUCCUCAAUCU